AGCUUUGCGAAGUAGCAGUAUCAUAGCCAAUGAGGUUUAUCUGAGGCGCGAUUAUUGCUAAUUGAGAAUUACAUAAAUUUAAUAUAUACAAGUCACUUAGAAAUGUUAAUAGGUAGUAAACAUCAUUUGUCAGCUAUUAGGAGAG
ensembl:snRNA U4 U4 spliceosomal RNA